rnacentral:tRNA from 1 species
GGGAGCUUAGCUCAGUUGGGAGAGCAUCUGCCUUACAAGCAGAGGGUCGCAGGUUCGAGUCCUGUUGUUCCCA